rnacentral:rRNA from 1 species
GACGAACGCUGGCGGCGUGCUUAACACAUGCAAGUCGAACGGAAAGGCCCUGCUUUUGUGGGGUGCUCGAGUGGCGAACGGGUGAGUAACACGUGAGUAACCUGCCCUUGACUUUGGGAUAACUUCAGGAAACUGGGGCUAAUACCGGAUAGGAGCUCCUGCUGCAUGGUGGGGGUUGGAAAGUUUCGGCGGUUGGGGAUGGACUCGCGGCUUAUCAGCUUGUUGGUGGGGUAGUGGCUUACCAAGGCUUUGACGGGUAGCCGGCCUGCGAGGGUGACCGGCCACAUUAGGCCUGAGAUACGGCACAGACUCCUACGGGAGGCAGCAGUGGGGAAGAGUGCACAAUGGGCGGAAGCCUGAUGCAGCAACGCCGCGUGCGGGAUGACGGCCUUCGGGUUGUAAACCGCUUUCGCCUGUGACGAAGCGUGAGUGACGGUAAUGGGUAAAGAAGCACCGGCUAACUACGUG